AUGGAUUUUCUCGACACGACACGACACGACACAUGACACGACACGACGUUAUUACUUGUGCCAUCUAUAAAAUUAUCUGGUCUUUCCUUUGCUACAACAAUGCCCAAUAAUUGGUCUUCCAAUCCGGUUGGUGUUAUCAUAAAAUUUAGCAACGUUACUUUGACCGCUAUCUCUGAAUUCGAGAAUCCUCAAUGACACACGGAUCCUGCCGACUCAAUAACCAGAGCCACUGUUCAAUUGUGAAUAUCUAUCAACUGUGAAUAUCUAUCAAUUUACGAGGAAAUUUAUAAAUUAAAAAAACGGUGUAUGCGGAACGUACCUGUCCUAA